rnacentral:rRNA from 1 species
UACAUAGGGCCCAAGCGUUGUUCGGAUUCAUUGGGCGUAAAGGGUGCGUAGGCGGCGCGGUAAGUCGGGUGUGAAAUCUCGGGGCUUAACUCCGAAACUGCAUUCGAUACUGCCGUGCUUGAGGACUGGAGAGGAGAGUGGAAUUUCCGGUGUAGCGGUGAAAUGCGUAGAUAUCGUAAGGAAGACCAGUGGCGAAGGCGGGUCUCUGGACAGUUCCUGACGCUGAGGCACGAAGGCGUGGGGAGCAAACGGG